rnacentral:rRNA from 1 species
UACGGAGGGUGCGAGCGUUGUCCGGAAUCACUGGGCGUAAAGGGCGCCUAGGCGGCCUGAUAAGUAGGGGGUGAAAUCCUGCGGCUUAACCGCAGGGCUGCCUUCUAAACUGUCAGGCUCGAGCACAGUAGAGGCAGGUGGAAUUCCGGGUGUAGCGGUGGAAUGCGUAGAGAUCCGGAAGAACACCGGUGGCGAAGGCGGCCUGCUGGGCAGUAGCUGACGCUGAUGCGCGACAGCGUGGGGAGCAAACAGG